GUGGGGAAUAUUGGACAAUGGGCGAAAGCCUGAUGCAGCAACGCCGCGUGAGGGACGACGGCCUUCGGGUUGUAAACCUCUUUUAGUAGGGAAGAAGCGAAAGUGACGGUACCUGCAGAAAAAGCACCGGCUAACUACGUGCCAGCAGCCGCGGUAAUACGUAGGGUGCAAGCGUUAUCCGGAAUUAUUGGGCGUAAAGAGCUCGUAGGCGGUCUGUCGCGUCUGCUGUGAAAACUGGAGGCUCAACCUCCAGCCUGCAGUGGGUACGGGCAGACUAGAGUGCGGUAGGGGAGAUUGGAAUUCCUGGUGUAGCGGUGGAAUGCGCAGAUAUCAGGAGGAACACCGAUGGCGAAGGCAGAUCUCUGGGCCGUAACUGACGCUGAGGAGCGAAAGCGUGGGGAGCGAACAGGAUUAGAUACCCUAGUAGUCC
rnacentral:rRNA from 1 species